UACAGAGGUCUCAAGCGUUGUUCGGAAUCAUUGGGCGUAAAGAGCGUGUAGGCGGCCCGGUAAGUCCGCUGUAAAAGUCAAAGGCUCAACCUUUGAAUGUCAGUGGAUACUGCCGGGCUAGAGUCCGGAAGAGGCGAGUGGAACUCCUGGUGUAGCGGUGGAAUGCGCAGAUAUCAGGAAGAACACCAACGGCGAAGGCAGCUCGCUAGGACGGUACUGACGCUGAGACGCGAAAGCGUGGGGAGCGAACAGG
rnacentral:rRNA from 1 species